CAUAGAACCAUAGACUUGCAAAUGUACUUUCAUUAUUUCUAUUUUUUGAAGGGCAAAGGGACAGCCCAGAGACUGCUAAAAUUUGUGCACAUUGUUUCAUGUUUAUUUUCAGGCUCUUGAUGAAGAAAUAUUUAACAUCAGAGUAAGUGUUCUAGAGAUUAAUGGCUGCUGUUUGGCAAGGUCCAUAGACGUCCUUUCCUGCCAAUACAAAUAUAUACAUUGUUGAAGCACAAGACUAUAUCCACAGAUAGGAUUACAUGUUAACUGAAAAGAUUCAAGGAAGAGAAGAUGGGCCAUCAAUGAAAAAUGGUGGUUACAAUGAAGCAACUGAUUUCACAGCUAAGGCGAGAGCACUGCACUUCCUCCUCAUGCUUUCUGGUUGUUAAACUCCCACUAAGAAGCAUGAAAAAGAGCAAGAUGCACUUGAGGAGAUAAAGCAGACCUUUGAAGGGAAACCAAACAUCAGUUCAAGUUGUAACUUAGAGACCAGAAAAGAUAUUCCAAGUUUUUGUGAAGUUUAAAAUGUGCUCUUUUGUAUGGAAAAAAUAAAUCCUGUUGGCAA
rnacentral:lncRNA from 1 species